UUUUAUAAAUAAUUUAAUUAAGAUUAUUAGUAACAAAGAAUUGAAAUUAAUUUAUUUAUUUUGUUGGGGUGACAGAAAAAUAAAUAAAACUUUUUUUAAAAUAAAACAUAUAUAAGUGAUUAAAUGAUCCAUUAUUAAUGAUUAAAA
rnacentral:rRNA from 1 species